rnacentral:rRNA from 1 species
AUUGAACGCUGGCGGCAGGCUUAACACAUGCAAGUCGAGCGGGGUGAUGGUGCUUGCACUAUCACUUAGCGGCGGACGGGUGAGUACUGCUUAGGAAUCUGCCUAUAAGUGGGGGACAACAUCUCGAAAGGGAUGCUAAUACCGCAUACGUCCUACGGGAGAAAGCAGGGGAUCACUUGUGACUCCUCGCUAAUAGAUGAGCCUAGGUCGGAUUAGCUAGUUGGUGGGGUAAAGGCCUACCACGGCGACGAUCUGUAGCGGGUCUGAGAGGAUGAUCCGCCACACUGGGACUGAGACACGGCCCAGACUCCUACGGGAGGCAGCAGUGGGGAAUAUUGUACAAUGGGGGGAACCCUGAUCCAGCCAUUCCGCGUGUGUGAAGAAGGCCUUAUGGUUGUAAAGCACUUUAAGCGAGGAGGAGGCUCUUUUGGUUAAUACCCAAGAUGAGUGGACGUUACUCGCAGAAUAAGCACCGGCUAACUCUGUGCCAGCCGCCGCAGUAA